GCUCGCCCUCUUCUUCUGUGAUCCUCAUGGCGGAACCGUGAUCGCAGUUUUAUGGAAGCCAAAGGCCUUCCUCCCAGUGCCCUUCAAGACAUCGUAUAUGUCUGCUCGGAGAGUGGAGGUGACUGGGGAGGAAGCGAAUACCAUUCCCAACGUCGAAGCAAUCCUGGAGGACUUCCGGGUCUUGGGAAAGGGCUUGAUCAAGUCAGUGGAAGCCAGGACUGAGAAGUGGUCAGUUUAGACGUGUCGUUUUCACCGUGUACAUUUCAUUGUGAAACGGAACAACGGGGAAAUUAAUGGAUUUUCAGAGACAUUUGUGUUAACAAUAUUAUCAGUUAAUAAUGUGUUUUAAAGAUAAGCCACAUGUUUGUCUUGGCGAAGCUGCAUCUUGUUUAAUAAAUGCAUAUGUACUUUU